AGUGAACGCUGGCGGUAGGCCCAACACAUGCAAGUCGAACGGCAGCACAGAGGAGCUUGCUCCUUGGGUGGCGAGUGGCGGACGGGUGAGGAAUACAUCGGAAUCUACUCUGUCGUGGGGGAUAACGUAGGGAAACUUACGCUAAUACCGCAUACGACCUACGGGUGAAAGCAGGGGAUCUUCGGACCUUGCGCGAUUGAAUGAGCCGAGGUCGGAUUAGCUAGUUGGCGGGGUAAAGGCCCACCAAGGCGACGAUCCGUAGCUGGUCUGAGAGGAUGAUCAGCCACACUGGAACUGAGACACGGUCCAGACUCCUACGGGAGGCAGCAGUGGGGAAUAUUGGACAAUGGGCGCAAGCCUGAUCCAGCCAUACCGCGUGGGUGAAGAAGGCCUUCGGGUUGUAAAGCCCUUUUGUUGGGAAAGAAAUCCAUCUGGUUAAUACCCGGGUGGGAUGACGGUACCCAAAGAAUAAGCACCGGCUAACUUCGUGCCAGCCGCCGCGGUAA
rnacentral:rRNA from 1 species